rnacentral:SRP_RNA from 1 species
GGAGAUCGCCUGCGGACGAACUGCUCGCUAACCCGGUCAGAUCCGGAAGGAAGCAGCCGUAACGGGUUUUGUUUGGGUCGUAAGGUUGGUCUCCCAA